rnacentral:rRNA from 1 species
CCUACGGGUGGCAGCAGUGGGGGAUAUUGCACAAUGGGGGAAACCCUGCUGCCGCGACGCCGCGUGAGUGAAGAAGUAUUUCGGUAUGUAAAGCUCUAUCAGCAGGGAAGAAAAUGACAGUACCUGACCAAGAAGCCCCGGCUAACUACGUGCCAGCAGCCGCGGUAAUACGUAGGGGGCAAGCGUUAUCCGGAUUUACUGGGUGUAAAGGGAGCGUAGACGGGUAUGUAAGUCUGGAGUGAAAGCCCGGGGCCCAACCCCGGGACUGCUUUGGAAACUGUGUAACUGGAGUACAGGAGGGGCAGGCGGAAUUCCGGGUGUAGCGGUGAAAUGCAUAGAUAUCACGCAGAACUCCGAUUGCGAAGGCAGCAUACCGGCGCUCAACUGACGCUCAUGCACGAAAGUGUGGGUAUCGAACAGGAUUAGAUACCCCAGUAGUC